rnacentral:lncRNA from 1 species
AGACAUUAUUAACUCUUUUUAUAAGUCAUAUAAUUCAUCUUUUUUUUCAAACAACAGUACCAUAAUUUUUAAUAAUACAUAUAUGACAUUUCAAGAAGAGUAUAAAAAAACUAUUGAACAAAUAAAUAUGAAUGAAAAAAAAAGUAAAAUUAAUAUGAAUGCUUAUUUAUUAAUAGGGAAUAAUAAUAUCGUAUACCAACUAAAAAAAUUAAAAAAAAAAAAAAUGAACAUCGCCUUUGAAAAUGUACAGGUUAAAAACGAUACAAUAGAAAGUAAUAGUAUAACUGCUGUAAACGAUAUAAAAAACGACUUAACAAAUGAAAAAAAAAAGAUUGAAAAAAAGACGAUUGAAAAAAAGACGAUUGAAAAAAAAGCAAUUGAAAACAGUGUUAUAAAUAUAAAUAUUUAUAUCGGAACACCAGGAAGAAUAAGUACGUUAAUAAAUGAAAAAAAAAUUAUACAAUUAAAAAAUAUAUCUACUAUAAUUAUAGAUGAGUAUGAUUUUUUUUUUAAUUCAUUUAAACAAAAUGGUAAACAAAAUAUGAACAAGAUAGAGCUGGAAAAUAAAUUUGUUUCCAAUUUGUUAAAAAGUAUAUACACACAGAAAAAAAUGAAUAGUAUGAAAAAUAUAAAUAAAAAAAAUAGUAAUAUUAAUUGUAUUAACAAAAUAAAAUCUACUGAUGUUAUAUGCUGUAGUGCCACACCCGCAGUGUACUCUUUUCUGUUAUAUACAAAACAUAUUAUUACUAGGAACUUCUUGCAAAGCUUACAUGGUCAGGAUGUCCAAAAUGAGACUUACCAGUGUUCUAGUAAUAGUCACAUAGAAAGUAGUAACAACAGUAACGGAAACAGUUGCAAAAUAUCCUCAACAGAUUCAACAAUUAAUAACACUUUUAUAAAAAAGAAUGGGUCAUUUAUUAAUUACGAAGAAGAGAAAACAAUGUUAUAUAAUUUAUUGCAUUUAGAGGAGGAUAUAAAAGUAUCAAAUAAUUUAGUUCAUUUCAAUUACUACUAUAAUAAAAAUAGGAAAAACAAUAACAAUAGUUCUAUAUCCAAUCUUUUAAGAAUCUUAUUUUCAAAUCCUUUGAAUAAAAAUGUUCUAAUUUUUUGUAACACUAAGGUUUUUUUUUUUUUUUUUUUUUUUUUUUUUAUUUAAAAUGAAUGGCUACACAUUUUUUAUUUUUUUUUUUUUUUAUUUUUGAUCAAUAACAGGUCUUUUAUGUUAUGCUAUGUUUUCACCUACAUAACAUUUUGAUACUUAUUAUUUAUACAUGCACAUACACAUAUAUUUACAGAAGAAGGUCAUGGAUAUCUGGAGUUUAUUCAAAAACAGAUUUGACAUUGAUGUACAAACCAUAUUUGCCCAUGAAGAUACAAAAAAUAAUAAAAAAAAAGAAAAAAAAGAAAUCUUUAAAAAU